rnacentral:rRNA from 1 species
CCUACGGGAGGCAGCAGUGGGGAAUACUGCGCAAUGGGCGAAAGCCUGACGCAGCGACGCCGCGUGAGGGAUGAAGGUCUUCGGAUCGUAAACCUCUGUCAGCAGGGAAGAACGGUCACUGUGCUAAUCAGCAGUGAAUUGACGGUACCUGCAAAGGAAGCACCGGCUAACUCCGUUCCAGCAGCCGCGGUAAUACGGAGGGUGCGAGCGGUAAUCGGAAUUACUGGGCGUAAAGCGCUCGUAGGCGGUAUGACAAGUCAAGGGUGAAAUCCCCGCGCUCAACGUGGGAACUGCCUUUGAAACUGGCAGACUGGAGUGUGUGAGAGGAUAGUAGAAUUCCAGGUGUAGGGGUGAAAUGCGUAGAGAUCUGGAGGAACAUCAGUGGCGAAGGCGACUAUCUGGCACAUAACUGACGCUGAGGAGCGAAAGCGUGGGGAGCAAACAGGAUUAGAUACCCUUGUAGUC